UGGGGAAUAUUGGACAAUGGGGGCAACCCUGAUCCAGCCAUGCCGCGUGAGUGAUGAAGGCCUUCGGGUUGUAAAGCUCUUUUGGCGGGGACGAUGAUGACGGUACCCGCAGAAUAAGCCCCGGCUAACUUCGUGCCAGCAGCCGCGGUAAGACGAAGGGGGCUAGCGUUGUUCGGAAUUACUGGGCGUAAAGCGAGUGUAGGCGGUUGCCGUAGUCAGGUGUGAAAGCCUUGAGCUCAACUCAAGAAAUGCACUUGAUACUGGGUGACUAGAGGACCGGAGAGGAUAGUGGAAUUCCCAGUGUAGUGGUGAAAUACGUAGAGAUUGGGAAGAACACCAGUGGCGAAGGCGGCUAUCUGGACGGUUACUGACGCUAAGACUCGAAAGCGUGGGGAGCAAACAGGAUUAGAUACCCUGGUAGUCCACGCCGUAAAUGAUGGGUGCUAGACGUUGGCGAGCUUGCUCGUCAGUGUCGCAGCUAACGCGUUAAGCACCCCGCCUGGGGAGUACGGCCGCAA
rnacentral:rRNA from 1 species